AGCUUCAUUUGGCAGUAAACAUUUAAAUUUAACGUGGCUUUAAGUAUUAUGCAUUGUUAAAGUUUCACUAAAUGCCAUUAAAUGUGGUGUUUACAUGGAAUAAUCUUAAUAUGAGUUCACCUUACGAACCCAGUCUCAGCAUCAGUAGGAAAGCGAUAAAACGAGCAUCUUCCAUCUGAAGACUUGUGUUGCAUUUCGGGGCAAAACAAAAACACAUUGUCGAUUGUUGUCGACCAACAAUAUAAAAUGAGGGAAACUAUUAAUUGGUUAUUCUACAAUUAAUUGUAUUACAAAUUAUACUAGGACUGGAAAACACUGUAAAUUGAUAAACUGUUCGGCGUGAUGACGUUUAAUGUCUCCGCCAGCGCCUGUAGUCCCAUUUGUUUUAUGUCGUAGAAUAAAACGUGAAAGUAUCUUGAGCCUGUGUGAACCACAGACCUUAUUUUAGGGAUUUAACAAAAAUCCCAUUCAAAAAACCCAUCGACUCUGGGAUGAUGGAACUGGAAGUGCUAAAAAGCUAACUCGCUUCCGGGUUUUUGCCUACAAAGUGACAUCAUAGUUCCACCACUCUAUUGUCUUUGGUUGAACACCCUGUUCUGAUGCACAAGAGUUGCAACUAUGGCAGCUGACAAGGCCAUUCUUUGUGUUCUUUUUGAAGAAUUUUCGGAGCCUGAUUAAAUAGGUAUAAAUACGUGUUUAAUACUGCAAAAUACGCUCGAUGUUACAGUCACUGCCAUCCAGAAUAAAAGAGAACAUCCCAAUCCAGUGAAGGGAUUUGUGGAAACUGUGGUUCCUUAUUAUUGUGAUCCUAAAUUUGCCUCAGCCAUGUCAUCAGUUGCUCUUGAGCGAAAUCUCCUCCCAUCCGUUGUCUGAUUGGCAUUUCGCAAGGAUUCCUGGGUUGUUAAAGUGUGCGAAGCCUGCAUCUAUGCGGGCUUCGCGAAGACCGCUUCAAGGGUACAAAGGGGGCGCUGCUGAGCACACUUCAGAGUGUUAAAAUGCUGAAUGGGAUGGUCUACGGACUCGUAGACUCGGCAAACAUGCACAAUUUAAGUCCAUGAGACCAAAAGUCCACAUGAAGUGCGCCAUUUGGGACAGGGCCCAUGUGUACAUCUGAUGGACAUUUCGGACCCUACCAUAUCCCAGAAUCACUUGCGCGCAGAUGACUACAGUGUUUCUAUUCAAAGAGCAGGGCAGGUGAGAGUUCUGUGGGGGAAUUCACAUUGAAAUGUAAGUAUUGUGUUUUCAUUUACUCAAAUACCUAGCGAAAGUGUUAAAAGCCAGGGGGGUUUUUAACACAAAGCCCACAAACAAUAAGACAAUCACUAUAAAAGGCAAUAGUCUUUCUCUUUGGUGUGUUUUUGUGGUGCUGUCAUUCAAGAUAUGUCUCCAAAUGUUUUAACCAAAAUUUAGCACUUCAGUAUUAUGUAUGCAUAUACUGUGUAGUAUUUUCUAAACUUGUCUUUAUAUUUUUCAUAAGUGUUUUCAUUUUCUCUUGUUUUAGUAUUAUUCAGGAGAAAAUGAGCCUGCAGGGGAAAUACUUAAAAAAUAAAAAAAGGAUUGCAAGUGUCCUGGGACAGGUGAGGAAGUGAGUGGAAGCUGGUGGAGCUGCUCAGGGAGGACAGCAAAAUCCAGAAAGAGACAGAGGAGAGAAGCCCAGUUUUGAGCCCAGCCCUGCCUCCAUGUGUUCUGGGGUCUUCAGGAGGUGAAUCUCUUCUCGACACGGAGGAUAAUGCGGUGACAGUGGAACAAGGCAUAUGUCAAACACUCUGGAGACCACUCUGUAUGAUGUACCACUAGCAGACAGAAGAGAAACAUACAGAUGUUGACAGUAGCUGCACACAAAGAAGAAAUAAAUAGGGAUAAAUGGGACAACCUUGUCUCACUCCUCUGGAUAAACUAAACCUUGGUGAAGUGCCAUUCUUUUAUUUAAUCGAAGCACUUCCAUUAUUGUAAAGGGUUUUAAUUACUCUGCAAAACAUAUCCCCAAAACCAAAUUUAUCUAAUGAAUUAAUUGUAAAUUGGUGCUCUAAAGAAUCGAAAGCCUAUAUUUAUUAGUCAAUUAGCAGAUGACAGCACCUUAUUUUUAAGAGAUGCUUCCCAAAUUAAUUAUAUAAAACUGUUCUCUGAAGCUUCGGGUCUUAUUCUAAACAUAAGCAAAUGUGAAUUAAUGUCUAUUAAAAACUGUACAGCACCCAUCAUUUAUAAUAUUCCAGUUAAAUCUGAAAUUACAUAUUUAGGUAUUGUGAUAACUAAAAAUCAAGAUAAAAGAUGUACCUUGAAUUUUGACCCGGUUAAAAUAAAAGCCCAAAGAAGAUUCAAUGCAUGGUUGCAGAAAGACUUGACUUAGAGAGGCAGAAUACUGCUUGCUAAGGUGGAGGGGAUCUCCAGGCUUACAUACUCUGCACUCUCUCUAUAUGUGGACAACAAAAUUUGUAAAUCAGUUGAUAAAAUCAUGUUUAUGUUUGGAAAAACAAAAUCCAUUAUGUUAAGAAGUCUGUAUUAAUGAACACGUAUGAGUAUGGUGGGUUGAAUAACCUUAAUUUCUCUUCUUUGAGCAACACUUUCAAAAUUAAUUGGAUUAGACAGUUUUUGUGUAAUCCAAACUCAAUCUGGAAUUUUAUCCCCAAUUACUUCUUUUCCAAAUUAGGAUGGUCUCCCUUUACUUUUGAUCUGUAAUUAUAAUAUUGCUAGAAUCCCUUACAAUUUAUCUAAAUUUCAUAAACAGGCAUUACUUGCAUGGUCAUUUAUCUUAAAGCACAAUUUCUCCCCUCGCCGGUACUUCAUUUGGAACAAUCAAGACAUUUUAUAUAAAAGAAAAUCUUUGUGUUUUAGUAAUUGGUUUGAGAAAAACAUUUUGAUUGUUUUCCACUUAUUUAACUCAGAAAGUCUUACUUUAAGUUACGAAGAAUUUUUAUGUAAAUUAAAUUUUCCAGUAACUCCCAAUGAAUUCUCAAUUGUCAUGGAUGCUAUUCCUAAAGGAGCUAUUAUGCUUUAAAGGGACUCUGUUAGAUCAUCCAGCACUUUAUCUAUUUCUUUAGACCCGUUUGAAAUCCCAGUAGGAAAACUAUGCUUUUUGUCACAUCCUUCAUCACAUAACUAUAAGAUUAGAUCACUUUUUCAAAAGGAGCUUGUAACAACUUCAUAUGUGAUGUCUUAUUGGAAGAAUGUGGUUGAUCAUAUUGAUUGGAAAAAAGUAUGGACUCUGUCUUCGAAAUACAUAAUAACUAACAAGGUUAGAGAAAUCUCAUUCAAAUUGUUACACAGAUUUUACCCCGCUAAAGUCUUUUUGAAAAGGUUUAAAUCAGACAUAGAUACAAGCUGCUUUUUUUGUGGUGACCCUAAUGAAACUGAUAUGCAAAUCUUUUGGGAUUGUCCUCACACACAGCAAUUUUGGAUUGAAUUCUCUAAUGUUAUCAAUCGCAGUGUGCUCCAGGGGUUCUCUCUGCUUUUUUUAAUGAUGUACUGUUUGGCUUCUUUAAUAUACAAAAAGACAAAACUAAUGAAUAUUUUAUUAUUAACCUAUUAUUACUUCUUGCAAAAUUUCAUAUUCACCACAGUAAAUUCACUCAUCAAAAGCCUUUAUAUAUUGUUUUUGAAAAAGAGGUUCAACAGUAUAUCCAAACUAUUUUAAUCUAUUUAAUCUUGUUUUGUUAAAGCUUUCGUUUUGUAUUAUUUAUUUAUUGUUACAUACGUCUAUAAAUGGUGCUUUGCAUGUAAUGUCAUUUCUUUGUACGCAAUGUUGAUAUUCUCUGUACUUUUAUUUUUGGUACCUUGGCAUUAAAAAAUAAAUAAAUAAAAAAAGUAAUGAG
ensembl:lncRNA